AACGUAGGGGGCGAGCGUUGUCCGGAAUUACUGGGCGUAAAGAGCUCGUAGGCGGUAGUUCAAGUCAGGUGUGAAAUCCGACGGCUUAACCGGAGGACUGCACCUGAUACUGGGCUGCUAGAGGUAAGGAGAGGAAGGUGGAAUUCCCGGUGUAGCGGUGAAAUGCGUAGAGAUCAGGAGGAACACCGAUGGCGAAGGCAGCCCCCUGGGCCUGUACUGACGCUCAUGCACGAAAGCGUGGGGAGCAAACGGG
rnacentral:rRNA from 1 species